GGACUACUGGGGUAUCUAAUCCUGUUUGCUCCCCUUGCUUUCGCGCCUCAGCGUCAGUAUCAGCCCAGAAAACCGUCUUCACCACCGGUGUUCUUCCACAUAUCUACGCAUUUCACCGCUACACGUGGAAUUCCGUUUCCCCUAACUGAACUCUAGAUAGACAGUUUCAAAUGCAGCUCCGAGGUUGAGCCCCGGAAUUUCACAUCUGACUUUCCCAUCCGCCUACGCGCCCUUUACGCCCAGUAAUUCCGAUCAAUGCUUGCACCCUCCGUAUUACCGCGGCUGCUGGCAC
rnacentral:rRNA from 1 species